rnacentral:rRNA from 1 species
UACGAAGGGGGCUAGCGUUGCUCGGAAUCACUGGGCGUAAAGGGUGCGUAGGCGGGUCUUUAAGUCAGGGGUGAAAUCCUGGAGCUCAACUCCAGAACUGCCUUUGAUACUGAAGAUCUUGAGUUCGGGAGAGGUGAGUGGAACUGCGUGUGUAGAGGUGAAAUUCGUAGAUAUUCGCAAGAACACCAGUGGCGAAGGCGGCUCACUGGCCCGAUACUGACGCUGAGGAGCGAAAGCGUGGGGAGCGAACAGG